GGGAAUAUUGCGCAAUGGAGGAAACUCUGACGCAGUGACGCCGCGUAUAGGAAGAAGGUUUUCGGAUUGUAAACUAUUGUCGUGAGGGAAGAAAUUGACAGUACCUCAGGAGGAAGCUCCGGCUAACUAUGUGCCAGCAGCCGCGGUAAUACGGAGGAUGCGAGCGUUAUCCGGAUUCAUUGGGUUUAAAGGGUGCGCAGGCGGGCCUUUAAGCCGGCGGUGAAAUCGCGGGGCUCAACCCCGCCGAGCCGUCGGAACUGGGGGCCUUGAGUGCGGCGGAGGCAUGCGGAAUGCGCGGUGUAGCGGUGAAAUGCAUAGAUAUCGCGCAGAACCCCGAUUGCGAAGGCAGCGUGCCGUGCCGCCACUGACGCUGAGGCACGAAAGCGCGGGGAUCGAACAGG
rnacentral:rRNA from 1 species